rnacentral:misc_RNA from 1 species
GACUCUCGGCAACGGAUAUCUUGGCUCUCGCAUCGAUGAAGAACGUAGCGAAAUGCGAUACUUGGUGUGAAUUGCAGAAUCCCGUGAAUCAUCGAGUCUUUGAACGCAAGUUGCGCCCUAGGCCGUCAGGCCGAGGGCACGCCUGCCUGGGCGUCACGCACCGAGUCGCCCCCAUCCCUCGACGAUCGAUCGAGGCGGCGGGGGCGGAGAAUGGCCCCCCGUGCCCCCGCGCGCGGCCGGCCCAAACAGAGGCCCCGGGAGGCCGACGUCACGAUCCGUGGUGGUUGUAAAAGACACGCCCUAGAAACCGGAUCCCGUGCACGCCGCGCCGCACCCCGGGCCACAGCGACCCCCGAGGGCCGUCCCCGGACGGUACCCACUCU